GGCCCCACCCCCUGCGCUCCCGCGGCUCCCGCACCCCUAGAGGCGCCCACGGCUCGCUCCGCCCUCUCGGAUAACGGGGCAGGCCGGUGGCCCACGCAGCCCACCAGCUUGCAGGGAGGGCAGACCCUGGGGGAUGUGAGGGAGGCUUUCUCACGCAGACCCUAAAACGGUGAGCGCCAGGGAGCCCCGCCUGCUUGUCCCCUCCCCAGAUCCCUCGGGCUCUGGAGACCUUGCGGGCCCCCUGUCCGUGACCACCUGAAACAGGUCCUGGAGCUGCUACUGCUGGCUUAGGCUGGUUGGUGGAAAGGAUCCAGGGCUGUUGUGAAGGCCUUGGGGAGUCCAGAAGCCGCCUGGCACCUUCUGGGUCCAGACGCUGCCCUUCAGCCCUGCCAUUUCAGCCAGCCUCAGCGUCGCUGUAGAGGCAGGCCGCCCUUUCUGCCACUGUCUGGCUGGGCUGGGCCGUGGGAGUGCUGGCCAACGUGCCAGGCAGGGAGGACCUGAAUUCCUGAAGGUGGUGGUGGCAGCUGUUAGGGUCCACAGGUUAAUGAUCUCCAACGUCACACAGAAGAGAAUGUGCUGAGGUGUGACCUCCCUCACCCUGCCUUGGCUGCGUGGGGCACCGUCUCUCCAGGACUCACCCUGCCCCCCAAUAGACUGAAGUCUGAAGAUCAGCCCAGUCUUCCUUCAGGCCUCAAUGCCCUCUCACUUCCCCAGCCCGAGGGACUCCUGGCUCUUCUCGGAGGCUGCUCUGUGGGGUCCCUCCCUUGGGCCUUUGCUAAUGCUGUGCCCUCUGCCUGUGCCAGAGGUGGGCCUGGGCCCGUUUCUCAGGGAGCUCCUGAACACCAAGAAAUUGAAUUGCUUUGUAAAUAAACAAAAAGUGCCAAACAAGCCUG
ensembl:lncRNA novel transcript, antisense to FAM65A